CCCAGUAGCUCAGUUGGUUAGAGCGGUGGACUGUUAAUCCAUGUGUCGUUGGUUCAACUCG
rnacentral:tRNA from 1 species